CCAACUUAGAAGGCCACAACAUAGAUUCAUUGACGAAAUACCCAAAGUUGAGUCGUGUUUCAUUCACUAGAUGUGCUCAACUACUUGAGGAUCCACGUUACGGUCACAUAGUUGAUGCAAUAUGGCAACACCUGCUCAAGGGACUGUUAAUUGACCCAAAUCGCAGCAUUAGUGUCUACUUUCCAGGCAUGGUGUUUCCAGAGUGGUUUUCGUAUAAGAAUUGGGGAAAUUCACUAUUAGUAAGUCUGCCUCAAAAUUUGUACAAUAACAAAUUCAUGGGAUUUGCAUUCUGUGUGGUUUCUAACCUGAUAACUACUCCAACAAGUGGGAAAUUUUGCAGUAUAAC